rnacentral:rRNA from 1 species
UACGGAGGGGGCAAGCGUUGUUCGGAAUUACUGGGCGUAAAGCGCACGUAGGCGGUUUGGCAAGUCAAGUGUGAAAUUCCACGGCUCAACUGUGGAGCUGCGCUUGAAACUGCCAAACUUGAGGCCAGUAGAGGGAGACGGAAUUGCCGGUGUAGGGGUGAAAUCCGUAGAUAUCGGCAAGAACGCCGGUGGGGAAGCCGGUCUCCUGGGCUGAGCCUGACGCUCAUGCACGAAAGCGUGGGGAGCAAACAGG